CUAAAGCCUAAUGCCUAUUUUCGGUUGAUAACCACCAACUACCAUUCUCAUUAAAUUCUGUCACACCCUUCUUUAUACCCUUAUUUAUCCUUUGCUUCUCUUUUAUGUUACAAGAAAGUUAGAUCCAAACUGGCAAAACAAUGUCUGAAGCACCAAAAACACAACAAAUGUCAUACAAUGAUACCCAUCAUCGUAUCCAACAUCGUCGGGAGGAACGCGGUUGUCUAUAUGCAUGCUUCUUCACAAUGUUCUGCUGUUGUUGCUGCCCCAAGAAAUGUGAAGGGUGUUUGGAUGGUGAUUGUUGCUGUUGCAAUUAGUUACACAUAUAAGUCUAUAAGUAUAUAACUGAGCUGGGGCUAGCUGUGUGCAUUUUUUUUUACUUAAUAAUUUUUGUUUCUUUCUAUUUGCAAACACCAAUCUUUUGCAUCUAAUAUUAUUUGUUGUGAAUUUUAAUUAAGUUAUUGCCCUUAUUCUA